rnacentral:rRNA from 1 species
CAGGGCUUGACAUGCAAUUGCACCGCCCGUCAUGGGGCGUCCCUUCGGGGCGGUUGCACAGGUGCUGCAUGGCUGUCGUCAGCUCGUGUCGUGAGAUGUUGGGUUCAGUCCCGCAACGAGCGCAACCCCUGCCGCUAGUUAGGAUGUCUAGCGGGACCGCCGCGAUCAACGCGGAGGAAGGCGGGGAUGACGUCAAGUCAGCACGGCCCUUACGUCCUGGGCUACACACACGCUACAAUGGUCGGUACAACGGGCUGCCAACCCGCAAGGGGGAGCCAAUCCCAGCAAAACCGGCCUCAGUUCAGAUUGCAGGCUGCAACCCGCCUGCAUGAAGGAGGAGUCGCUAGUAACCGUGGGUCAGCACACUACGGUGAAUACGUUCCC